GCAGCACGGGUGCUUGCACCUGGUGGCGAGUGGCGAACGGGUGAGUAAUAUAUCGGAACGUGCCCUAGAGUGGGGGAUAACGUAGCGAAAGUUACGCUAAUACCGCAUACGAUCUACGGAUGAAAGUGGGGGAUCGCAAGACCUCAUGCUCCUGGAGCGGCCGAUAUCUGAUUAGCUAGUUGGUGGGGUAAAAGCCUACCAAGGCGACGAUCAGUAGCUGGUCUGAGAGGACGACCAGCCACACUGGGACUGAGACACGGCCCAGACUCCUACGGGAGGCAGCAGUGGGGAAUUUUGGACAAUGGGGGAAACCCUGAUCCAGCAAUGCCGCGUGUGUGAAGAAGGCCUUCGGGUUGUAAAGCACUUUUGUCAGGAACGAAACGGUGGGGGCUAAUACCUUCUGCUAAUGACGGUACCUGAAGAAUAAGCACCGGCUAACUACGUGCCAGCAGCCGCGGUAAUACGUAGGGUGCGAGCGUUAAUCGGAAUUACUGGGCGUAAAGCGUGCGC
rnacentral:rRNA from 1 species